ensembl:misc_RNA Metazoa_SRP Metazoan signal recognition particle RNA
GCUAGGCACAGUGGUGCAUGCCUGUAGUUCCAGCUACUUGGGAGGCUGCAGCAGGAGGAUCGCUGGAGCCCAGGAAUUCUGGGCUAUGGUGCACUAUGCUGAUUGGACGUCUACACUAAGUUUGACAUCAGUAUGGUGGCCUCCUGAGAGCAGGGGACCACCAGGUUACCUAGGAUGGGUGAACUGGCUCAGGUCGGACACGGAGCAGGUGAAAACUCCCAUGCUGAUCAGUAGUGGAACGGUGCCUGUGAAUAGCCACUGCACUCCAGCCUGGGCAAUAUAGUGAGACCCUAUCUCUA